rnacentral:lncRNA from 1 species
AUGUUGUUAUGGGGAAUUCAAUUAUCUCACAGGAAAAGGACCUUUGUGCACGGAAACAACUGUAAUUGUAGAACCCAGCCGGGAAGAUCAUGCUCAUCUGGGAUGAUUGGCAUGACUCUAGUGGCACCUCUGGGUUGUCCGAAGCGAGCGUGUUCCUCUUCUGGUGGGGGUGGCAAAGGCGGCGAGUUGUUCGACGGAUGUCGCGGCAAGUAUGCAGGUACUGCCGCCCAUCAUAAUCAUUUCCAUCCCUGAUGCUGAAUGAUUCGCCAGAGUUAGAGGCGAUGGCGGAGCUGAAAAUCAAAAUAAAGAGAUAAAAUAUCCCCCUGAGCUUCAAAAACACUAUAUCACUAAAAUUUUGUUUUGAUUUUCUUGAGAUUUUCUUGAUAUUGUGAAUGAAACUUCCUGAUUUUUUUGUGCUUAAAAAUUGUCGCUUGUUUGAUUUUACAAACCAGCCAAAAUUUGAUUUCACUACACCAUUUCUUAAAAAAUGGAACACACACAGUGUUUUGAUUCAACCAAGAACCAUGCACUAGAUACAUACAAAAAAUACAUUUGUGCAAAAGUCAGGCUCGAUGACCCAAAAUAUUUUGUGGCCCUGAUCUCUGGUGCAAACCUUCUCUUAGCAAAAUGUCCUCCUACAAAAUAGAAAAUCUUUGGCUCUUAAAAACUAGCAGAUGGCAUUGAAAGAUCAAAUCUCGUUUUUAGAUGUCUCUUGGACUUCAAGUGUAGGAGGAACUUCUACUCUGAAAUUUUUCUACAAUGGACCACUAGACAAGGUACAAAUUUAAGCAUUCUGAUACAUGUUUCUUAACCAGAAUUUCACGUAAAACACGAUUAAAGCAACGAAAAUUACUGAAACCAACUCCUCACGGAGAUAUUAACAUUUUUAUUUCACAUUGGUUACGAGAAAUUUGAACUGUCCGCUUUACAAGGAACUCUAAGCUCUACGUGAGUUAAAUCGCGCGCUACAACGGUUUCAGCAAGCUUCUCAAUCGAGCAUUG